UAGAGAAUUCGGUUAUAGAGAGGGGUGCAGAAUUUGGAAGAAACAAUAAUACUCCGGUAUCUCUAGAAUCCACCGUUGGAUCAUUCUGAGGUUUUGUUAUAUUGUUCUUCUCACACUCCUCUACUAACUGACCGGAGGGAUUUGAAGGAACACAAUCCAUUUGACAGAAAUCAUCCUCUGAACUUUUCUAGAAAACAAAAGGAAAUAAUUCUGCAGAACAGUUUUGGUCGCCGGCUGAUUUCUCUCCCAUCCACCGUUAGAUCAUGCUCAUUCUUGGAUAUGUGGUGCGUCUAGAUGUUGCCUUCAAUCGGGAUGGUGGAGAUCGGAAAAUCAUUCUCUGGCAAGGUGUCGGUCAUAUUGAACAAUAGCUCGUCUAUUUUCAGGGGAAGCUAUGGGACUGGACAAUUGCAUGGAGUGGAAGCACGUGCACCUAUUCUAGGUCCAACAAGGUCGUGUCAAGAGUGAUACUAGUUUAGUUGUCUUUUGCUUUUGACCAUGUAAAUUAUUUGUAAAUUAAAAGACUUAUCUCCUAAAACUUGAGAUGUAAUAUCAAUCCGUAAAUUUAAAUGUAUGUCUUUAAUCUAAUGGUUGAAACUCUAAGUACCUAUUUAACCAUGCAUGUUUAUAGUUGAAAUUGAAUCUUUCAUUU